rnacentral:rRNA from 1 species
GAUGAACGCUGGCGGCGUGCCUAAUACAUGCAAGUCGAGCGAACGGACGAGAAGCUUGCUUUUCUGAUGUUAGCGGCGGACGGGUGAGUAACACGUGGAUAACCUACCUAUAAGACUGGGAUAACUUCGGGAAACCGGAGCUAAUACCGGAUAAUAUUUUGAACCGCAUGGUUCAAAAGUGAAAGACGGUCUUGCUGUCACUUAUAGAUGGAUCCGCGCUGCAUUAGCUAGUUGGUAAGGUAACGGCUUACCAAGGCAACGAUGCAUAGCCGACCUGAGAGGGUGAUCGGCCAAACUGGAACUGAGACACGGUCCAGAAUCCUAAGGGAGGCAGCAGUAGGGAAUCUUCCGCAAUGGGCGAAAGCCUGACGGAGCAACGCCGCGUGAGUGAUGAAGGGCUUCGGAUCGUAAAACUCUGUUAUUAGGGAAGAACAUAUGUGUAAGUAACUGUGCACAUCUUGAAGGUACCUAAUCAGAAAGCCACGGCUAACUACGUG